GGACUACUGGGGUAUCUAAUCCCGUUCGCUCCCCAUGCUUUCGUGGCUGAGCGUCAGGUACGAGCCAGGGCGUCGCCUUCGCCUCUGGGGUUCCUCCGGAUCUCUACGCAUUUCACCACUACACCCGGAAUUCCACGCCCCUCUCUCGUCCUCUAGAAAAGCAGUCUGGCAUAACCCCUCCCAGUUAAGCUGGGAUAUUUCAUACACCACUUGCUUCCCCGCCUGCACACCCUUUACGCCCAGUAAUUCCGGAUAACGCUUGCCACCUACGUUUUACCGCGGCUGCUGGCAC
rnacentral:rRNA from 1 species